GAGAUUUAUUCUUCAAGAAGGGAGAACAGAAAUCAUCGGUGGCCUGAUCUCUUGGAGGGAUGACAGAAAAUUUAAAAUUUAUCUCUAUCUUGACUCUCGAGCCUGAGCGAAAGCAAGAGGUCUUACCGUGUGCGGGGCCCGCCCCCACCCCGGGAGGCAGCCGAGGGGCGCUGAUGUGGGCCUGGGGUCCUAUAUCUGUCUUCUUACAUCCCCGAAGAGAUUACCGACUCUCUCGCUUCCCCCAGACGCGGCGGUGCCGGCCGGGCCCGGGCUGGGGCCAGGGUGCGGACUCUGCCGCCUCUCUCGGAGCGCCGCCGGACUUCCAAAGUUGCGUGCCGGGCUGGGGCUGGGGCUCAGCGCGCGGAGCUCGAGGGCGGCGGCGGGGCGAGUCGUGUGCGGGCCGCAUGAAGACGCCCCCGUCCUCAAGUGGGCCGGGGCAGGUGGGCGAUCGGCCUUCUAAGAGCCGCGGCCAUGGCACAGGGUCUCCUGGGCGUUGGCCUGGCGAGCUGAGGGCGCUGAGUGCAGCCGGACGGGCCGGGGUCCGAGGGCAGCGUGAGUUGGGGCAGGAAGGCAGGGCUAGGGGGAGAAGGAGCUGGGGGUGGCCGGGCGGCGGCGCGCCGGCUGCUGGGCGUCUGCACCGAAGCCGGAGCCGCUGCUGCUCCGCCGCGUUCACGGUGGACUGGUUUUAUAGCCCCAGGAUCAAGCUGGCGUUGCCGAGCAGCCGGCGUCAGCCCCCACGUGGGAAACCGACCCUCCCCCGCCCCUUGCGCCUCCCCUUCGCGGGUCUAGCGUCCGCGCCCGGCGUGGGACCUUGGGGAACGCUGCCCCCCUGGCGGGACCCGCUCUUUGGAGAGAUGGUCGGGUGACCUCCUCCACCAGUCUUAAUCUAAAGGAAGCUGAGAAGACAGAAUUUCCUUCUUCUGUUGAGCCCAUCACUUCCCAUCUUCUGCUCGGAAUCUCGGCUCUGAAUCUCACGGCAGGGGGCAGAAAGAAGGCACGAGGCUCCGUUGGCUAGGUGAUUACACUCAUUUUUGCACAGCAACCCGGAGCCCCUAACCUCAAGUAUGAAUGAUGAGAGAGACAAAAAUCCAAGCCCCUAACCUCAAGUAUGAAUGAUGAGAGAGACAAAAAUCCAANNNNNNNNNNCAAGCCCCUAACCUCAAGUAUGAAUGAUGAGAGAGACAAAAAUCCAACCCGAGGCAGAACUUCGGGAGGGAGUACUGACGGCCAUGGCUGCCCACCUCUGUAUCCAGGCGAACAGGCUGCUGGCCUCCCCGUCUCAUUUCAGAAGCAAGACGGAAAAUGAAAACACAGGCCGCAGUACUUUCUUUUCUUGGAUCUCUGCUGCUAGCUUGUGUAUGACCUCUCUUGUCGCAUUUUCUAAAUGCUUCCCAAACAGCCAAUCAGUUCUUUGAUUCCUGGGUUUGGAGUCUUUUCUACUAAAAUCAAAAUAGGUCUUUCAAGGAACCGAGGUCUCUGAGACCAGUACCCAACAAUUAGCCGGCUUUGGCGAGGUACCUCCGAGGAUCCUGUCCAGGGCUGUAUCCAGAGCCCUUCGCCCACAGAGCUCCUCCUUCUUGUACGCAUACCUUGUCACCGGAGGCGUCCCUCCUUAGUUUGACACACAGGGUCCGUCUAUCUGAGCUUAAAAAGCUAAGUGGGCACCAUUAUUUUUUGCUAGAAGAUUUAGUGCUGGACUAGCUGAAUGAGACAGCACUAAGCAGAGAGACACCCACAAAGACAAUACUUCUUAACCAGGCCUGUAUAUCAGUAUUGCCGGGGAAGGUCAAAUGCGCUUAUCAAUGCUCACCACCCAGUUACGAUUCGUCAGGUCUGUGGUGGGAGGCAGCCUGUGUAUUUGAAGGGUUGCUCGGCGGGUGCUAAGCACGCUCAACACUCAUCUAAAGGGAGCGAGGGAACUGGAUAGGAGGUGUUACUAAUAGCUUACCUUUUCUUUUCCUUCUUCCUUCCUUCCUCCCUUCCUCCCUCCCUUCUUCGUUUUCUUUCUUUCUUUCUUUCUUUCUUUCUUUCUUUCUUUCUUUCUUUCUUUCUUUCUUUCUUUCUUNNNNNNNNNNCUUUCUUUCUUUCUUUCUUUCUUUCUUUCUUUCUUUCUUUCUUUCUUCUUUCUUAGGCUUGACUAAGGAAAAUAAACCACAUGUCUCAUUAGCUUGAGCUCCUAGGCUGUGAUAUAACCGUCACAAAUAGAAGUUUGGACACACAAACAUAGGCCACACACCCACGCACACAGACUGUACUUAAACACACAUUCUCAUCCAUCGGAACACGAUGAGCAGGUGGGGAACACCAUGUUCCCACUGCUGCCCAUGCCACGUGCACAGCUGGAACCGAGUGCUGCGGCGAAUGACAGACAUCUGUCAAGUCCCUGUAUUGUCGACACGGGGGUGGUGGGAGGGCAGUCACUAGAAAAAAAUUCUGUUGCUCCCUCUGAGCCAUUAUUUAAUUCCUCCACUUUCUCGUACCUGUGCCGGAGCCCUUCGGGAUCACGCUGUAACUGAAGGGGGUUGUAAGCCAAAAGAAAACAAGGACAAGCGUGUUGUUGCGCGACGCUAGCUUACUUCCCACCUUCCAUGCGUCUCAUCCCUAACUGCCAGUCAGUCCUGCUGUGCUCACAGACGUGAGCAAGCGGUCCCACCACGGCCCCCUUCUCUUUCUCUAGAGUACUAGCGCAUCUCGCCACCGUCCCUCGAAGAUGAAGCCGGCUGUCUUCUGCACCCCCGGCCAAGACCUAGAAGAGAGCACUGUGCCAGGGUCGGCGGCAAUUUCUUCAGGAUGCAAGGGAAGCCUGGGCUUCUCUCUGGCUCCCUGCUGCUGCCCCCGCACCACCCCCACCCCCCGCUGUGGGACAUGUUUGUGUUUCCACUACAGUGUGACUGUGGAGGGAGGUGCCCAUACAGGAACCUUGUCGUCACCUCCUCCAGUCCUCCAGGGCAGUCCCCACACAUAAGUGCCCUCUCCCACCACAUCCAGGUGAUUAUCUUGCCUGUUUUGUCCAGAGCGUAAGGCAAAGCAAACCUGGAAUCAGUUAUGUCAAGUGAUGGCUAUUCAUCAGGUAUAAUAGGUGAGCCGCAGCCACUGUGCCUGGGUGUAAAGGAGACAUUUGUCACCGAUGUUAAUAACUCUUAAACUAACAUUCAUUAAUCUAGGUAGGUAAGGUGAAUUCAUCCUUCACAUUUACUCAAAGAAACCAUGGAGACACAGUGCCUGAAACAUAACACACACACACACGCACACACUCACACACACACUCACACACAGACACACUAUUUGAGAGGUGGUCUGGCUAUCAAUGCUCCCUGGAAAUGAUUUCACAAACUCCAAAAGAAAUCCAUCUUUCUAACCAGAAAAAUCAGAAAAGGGGUUCCUGGAAGUGUACAAGUGAGGAAGCGUACAAGAGGGGAGCCCAGAGAGAUGGGAGAAGGGGUCCUCUAAGUCCGUGAAUGGCUGACAUUAACCCCGGCUGCCCUGCGAGCUGUGCACGCGCGGGACCAACAGAGUGAGGCAGAGCAGAGGCUCCAAACGCUUCACUUUGGAGACAGUGGCCAUAAAAGGAAAGACAAAACCUGUGAUCUGAAACCAACCUUAACACAGCUAUGUAUUUGCUCAACCUUGUAACACUGAUAGAAUAAUUUCAGAAUUGCUUCUUCACCUAUACCACUCCAAAAAAAAAAAACAAGCACUAAAGAGAGUUCAGAGAUUACAGUAUGCUAAGUGAAAGAAGCCAGACACAGAAGUCAUGGAUUGUACGAUUGCGUUUCCGUGCAAUAUCCACAGUGGGCAGAUCCAUAGAGACAGAUGGCAGGUUUGUGGUCGCCGUGCUUCCAGAAGGCAAAAUAGGGAGCGAGCCCUUUUCGGGUAUGAGGUUUUUUGUGGGGGUGAUGAAAAUGUUUUGGAAAUAGAUAGAGGUGGUAGUUGCACAACAUUAUGAAAUAGUCACUUUAAAAUGGUUCAUUUUAAAAAAAUAAAUAAAAUGGCUAAUUUUGUGUUAUCUGAAUUUCAUCUAAAAUUCUUUUCAAAUAUUUUAUUUAUUUAUUUAUUUAUUUAUUUAUUUAUUUAUUUGAAAGAGAGCAUAAGCAGGGGGAGCUGCAAAGGGAGAGGGAGAAGCAGGAUCCCUGCUGAGCAGAGAGCCCAACGUGGGACCCAAUCCCAGGACCCCGGGAUCAUGAACAGAGCUGAAGGCAGACGCUUAACUGACUAAGCCACUCAGGCGCCCUUCACCUAAAAUUUUUUUAAAGGAAUUCGGAAAUUGUAAGCAGUUCUCCCCUACCUCAAGGCAAAUAUAAUUUUGUAUGCUUGUUUGCUUCCAGUGUUCUUUUUCAUUUCCCCUUCCUAUUUACUUUACAUUGUGAAUACGCAAAAUGUGCUUCCAAAAGUCAAAACUAUACAGAAAAGGUAGCAAAGUGUCUACCCCAUCGUGAUCCCUUCUACCUCCACCACUUCAACCAGCUUUACUGUCUUCCUUCUAUAAAGAUAAGCAAACAGUGGAUCUCCUGUGAAUCAUUCAUCAGUUCCUAAAGACCUUGUUUUCAUCUGCUUUUAUGUAUAGCUGCGUGGCACUCCGUGGUGCGUACAUAUCCUGGCUUAUUCAAUCAAUUUCCUAUGCUUGGGCCUUUUGGAGUUUCCAAUACUUUGCCAUUAUAAAGAGCGCUGUAAUGAAUAACUUCGUGCAUGAGCACUUUCAUUAUGUUGGAAACAUAGCUUGAGUUUAAAUUCCUAGGAGUGGGACUGCUGGGUUAAAGGGCAAAUGCGUAUGAAGUUUUGUUAGAUCCUGCUGCGUUUCCCUCCGCAGGUCUUGCACCAUUUUGCAUUCUCACCAGUCACGUAUGAGAGUGCCCAUUUCCCCAGAGUCUUGCAAAUGGAGCACAUUGUCAAACUUUCAAAUUUUGCAAACCUGAUGGGUGAAAAAUAGUAUAUCUCAUUGUAGCCUGAAUUUGCAUUUCUCUUAUGAGUACAGCUAAACAUCCUUUCCAGAUCUACAGAGGUCAAUUUUACAUCUUUUUGUCAAUUGUCUAUAUUUUUAGCUAAUUUUUCUAUUAUUCUAUUUAGCUAUUUUGGUCAUAGUUAGGAAGGUUUUCUCACCUGUUUUCUUCUCAUUAUUCAUAUAGUUUUAAU
rnacentral:lncRNA from 1 species